GUCACAUUGAAAUUAAUGGGAUUCAGCAUAGAUGUGGAAGCAUAUACUAGCAGAUCUUAAUGCAGUAUCACUGAUGAAAUUAGUAAUGCCAUUAUUAGCAGCAACAGUAGCCAAGAAAAAGGAGGAAAAAAAGUUGUAAAAGGAAGAGAGAGCCUGAUCCUGCAGACUUUAAAGUAUUGAAAUGCAAUCACCUUUCCUGAGUCUCAGGGGCCGGGUUAAGCUAGUCAAAAUGUUGUAGAUGCUAACACAACAAUUCAUGAAAAAUAGGCUUUAAUUUUCCAUGGCAUCUGAGGAGGAGGAGGAACAGCAGUGGAGGAAGGAGAGCUCUUCCCAGGAUGGGGAGGAUGCAGAGGAAGAGGCAGAUCAUCUCUGAAGAGGUUGUCUUACCCCUACUUUCUGCUGGUCAACAAUCAGAUCAAUAGAAAGGAAAUUGCUGCAUUCACCACAAUGUAAAUCAAGAAUAACGCCACAGAAGUCAAUGGAGCUACCUGACUUAAAACCAGUGUAAAUGAAAAGACUCAGAUCCUUACUAUUCAGUGCUGCAAUGGGGGAGUCGACACAGAAAGGACUUUUUGCAUAGUUAUGAAAUUAGUCACUGAGCUGUAAUUGUG